AACGAACGCUGGCGGCAUGCCUAACACAUGCAAGUCGAACGAGACCUUCGUGUCUAGUGGCGCACGGGUGCGUAACGCGUGGGAACCUGCCCUUAGGUUCGGAAUAACUCCCCGAAAGGGGUGCUAAUACCGGAUAAUGUCUUCGGACCAAAGAUUUAUCGCCUUUGGAUGGGCCCGCGUUGGUUUAGCUAGUUGGUAGGGUAAAAGCCUACCAAGGCGACGAUCCAUAGCUGGUCUGAGAGGAUGAUCAGCCACACUGGGACUGAGACACGGCCCAGACUCCUACGGGAGGCAGGAGUGGGGAAUAUUGGACAAUGGGCUAAAGCCUGAUCCAGCAAUGCCGGGUGAGUGAUGAAGGCCUUAGGGUUGUAAAGCUCUUUUACACGGGAUGAUAAUGACAGUACCGGGAGAAUAAGCUCCGGCUAACUCCGUG
rnacentral:rRNA from 1 species